UCCGUAGGCGGUGUGGCAAGUCGGGAGUGAAAUCUCUGGGCUUAACCCAGAGGCUGCUUCCGAAACUGCCAUGCUAGAGUGUGAGAGAGGCGAGUGGAAUUACGGGUGUAGCGGUGAAAUGCGUAGAUAUCCGUAGGAACAUCCGAGGCGAAGGCGGCUCGCUGGAUCACAACUGACGCUGAGGGAGAAAGCUAGGGGAGCAAACA
rnacentral:rRNA from 1 species